GGCGCCAGGUAAUCUUCAGCGAACUACAGUACCCAGUGGCCUUUGCGCUGGGGCGCUGUGUUUGGCAUUUCCGUACGUGCGGAAGGCGCGUGGGCGGGACUUCCGGCGUCUUCCUCGCGGCAGACAUCUUGUGGCUCAUGGUAGGCAUAGUUAGCGAGCUGUAGUUCGGUUCCGAGGUGAGGAAAGCGGGAAGGCCCGGGAAGAGACCCUGUCCUCACUAGGAAGAGUCUCUGCGGCCGCAGUGACCGCGAAGGCCUGGACCCAGACUUGGGAUCCUCACGGCUCUACGGUGUCCAGGCGGUGAUGGCGGCGGCUACGGGGAUGGGCCCGGCCUAGGUAGGUGCUGUGUCCCCGGACCUUGAUGCAGCCCGACCCUCACCUCCGAAUGCUAAGGCCCCGAAUGAGCGAGCGGUCGCUGUUGAAGUCACUGCAGCCCAGGUUCCAGGGCGUUUGUGGAUGGAGAUCCCAUGUCAAACAGCCAGUGGGAUGAGACGUGGGAGGAGCGACCGAUCUGGGAGCGCUCUGGAAACUGCGGUCCUGGCCUCUGCAGCAGAAGCAGCGUGUGAGCACUAGUCAUGGCAGGAGUGGCAGGGUUGCUGUGGCAGAAGAAGUGCUCAAGAUCCACGCAUAGGUGACUGCAGAAUGUGCAGAGGUUGCUGUUCCUUCUUGUAGCUGGACCAUGGACACCGCUGUUUUCCAUCAUUCCCUCACAUUGGUCCUCGGGGCUCAGCUGUGGGUACUGUCUCCUCCACUCCCUGUGUGCUCACAAGUCUUGGUGCACCAAACCCUUGCCAGGUAGGGUGUCAAGGUCAGGAGUUUUGUGGUCAGCCCAAUGGAUACUACCUUACUUGGCUUCUCCCAGGUUGGAUUGCUUUGUCCGUGCCCCUUUUCUUUAAUCAAUACUUCCCUGGACAUACUUGUGUCAUGAAUUA